UCGCAGAGAGGUGUCCUUCCUCCGCUCCCCCGUGGAGGGCACCAGCUCAUACGGAACAUCCACUCUCCCCGUACCCGUUACUGCUGCGAGGCCACUUUUCAUCCUUACACUAACCUCCGCUGUUUUCUCCAAUCUUGCCCUCAGCUGCUCCUUGUUUCCCUCCCAGUAGAAAACAACCCUGCGCCAAACAGAAGAAGGGGAUUGUGUCAAUUAAAUGAGAGCUUUAUGGCUCAUAUGUGCUGUGACCGUGUGAAAGGCACAGGAAGGAAAGGACGUGCUUCCUCUGAUGCUCCUGCUGCUGCGGGCCAGAGGAGAUAAGAACGCUCACACAUGGAUGCACACACCGCCACGAACAAACAAUCACAACACAGAUCCACGCUGCCUAUGCUAACACUCCCUCCCUCCUGCAGAUCAGCUUCCACGUGGUUUGGCCUUAAUCAACCCCCCUGCUCACCCUCCUCUUCCAGCUCCCCCUCACACAUUGUGGCCUGCCACCUCCGUGUCUCUCUGUGGCGCAGUGGGACAGCCAGCGAGGCCUGUGGCAGGAGUGCUGAGCCCAGGCCUGGAUUUGGAGCACGGCUGCUCUUGGUUGAGCGGGAUCCAGGCCCCCUGAGGGCGGAGAGGACAGGGAGGGCCGAGAAGACAUGCAGAGGACAGCUCUGCACCAAUCGGGAGACGGAGAGAGCUUGUGUCAAUUAAAUGGGCGACAACAGGCCAGAGCACAGCACAAAGGGUGGAGAUGAUACAGCACACAUGCACAAACCACACUGACACUUCACGUGAGAGAGUGAAGUGACUGUGGCCAGACAUGGAUCAAUCCAACCCGGAAUUGGGUUUCAUAUCCCGGAAGCAGAGAUGUACACAUGGGUCACUGUCAUCGACUCGCUGCGGCCAUGGCCAGAGUCAGGACAGGGCUCGGCGGAGGAUUGAAGGAGAGAAGAUGAAGGGAAGGAUGAAGAGCGAGAUGAGGCACAGGCGAGGAGAAGAGGAAAACUGAGAUUCCAGCAGCGCGUCUGAAACACACUACAAGAAAAAGGACCUAUCCAUGCAUGUGCACCGGCUGCCCGGAGGGCGGGCUUCCCUGCCAAGACCCCUUUGGAUCUGGAUGAGCUCAAACUCCGUCGGUAUGGGAGGAUGCAGUGAUUGCAGUUCGGGAGCCUCCGAUCCACCACUUUCCCUGCGUGUCAUAAAGUCUGGGCUCGUCGUUCACGCUGGAUCAGAAGAUGAUGCUUUUAUCAAACAUAUUGACUGCUCUACACCCUCCCCCCCUUUUCUUCCUCUCUCCUCUGUCCAUCCUCCCUCGCUGAGUGACCCCCUUGCCUCUCGGCUCUCUCACCCCUCUCCUCUAGCCCUGGCCCUGGCCCUGCCCACCCUGGGUCAUUUAUCAUGGACCGGGAGGGGAGCCCCCGGGCCUGCAGGCCCCUGUCAGCCCCUGCAAUCGCCUCUUUGUGGCUCCCAGCAAACAAGUGUCGGAUCAGCAAAAGUCUAUUAAAGCCUGGUGGGCCUUUCUCAGCCUAUUGGGUUCGGGUCACUGAGCUGCUCUCCUUGCUGCUCCUAGAGCUCUUUGUGUCGCCGCCGUUCGCUGACACAGAUCCCCACAAGAUUAAUGAUUUUUAGCAGCCGUUUGGGUCUCAUUCGCAGGGUCCUUCUCUCUUUUUCUCUAUAUGCCCUUUUUUCCUCUCUUCUCCACUCAUUCUGUCCUGUUUUUCUUCUUUAACCCAUUUCUUCUACCACUCUCCCCGCACCUUCAGAUUUCUCGCUUUUUGCCUGGUUUACCUCUCUCCUCCUCCCAUUCGCUACUAACCCAAUCAAUGUUAGCCAUUUGUAUGGAUCAUUAUCCAUACAAGUGUGAUUUUCUUUAAUGGCUGUCCCAUAUUAAUCAAACAAUUGUCUCUCUAUUGCAGAUUUAAUGAUACAAAAGAUAUAGAGUGCAUUUGCGAAAUAUGUUUUCAGUUGUUUGUUGUGUGAGUGAUGGGCUCCUGUCUGAUGAAUCCAACUUAAGCAUCCACAUUACAGUUCUGGAUUUCCCGCAGUGAGCCUUGAGAGGCCCAGAGCAAUUUGAAAUCUUGGAGCCACUUCCACGACUUCCAUGUUGCCAUGUUCUCAGUGUUGUUUCCAGUAAUUACUGCAGGUUAAGUGCACGUCCCGGAGCCCGGUGGAGGCAGCUCUAUCCCUCACAUGGGACAUGACUCAGCACUGUUCAGGUCAUCCGGCCAUUUCCCUGACCACUGGACCACACCCCGACCUACUCUAAACCCACAGGACAAGCAGUGUUUACGAAGGACUCAUGUUCACUUACAUCAUCUGAUGUAAUGGCUGUUUUAUUUACACGCUGGUUUUCCUUUUUUGUUUUCGCAGAAACACAAGCUGACAUCGACACACAUGUUCCACAUCUCCAAAUGCACAUAAGAGCUCAAAUCUAGCUGUUUUCCUUCUACUGUAAGAGCGCUUCGUCUGUCUCCCCUCACAAAACACUUUCCACUCUUUUUGUGCUCGGAAUCACACCCAGGCUCACAUUUUGUCAAGUUUGUCUUAAAGCAACCAUCACAUGCCUAUAUGUACAUUGAAAGAGGAAUUACCUCCACCGAGGACGUUGUGUUUUCAACCCUGUCCAUUUGUUGGUUGGUUGGUUUGUUUGUCAGCGGGAUUGUUUAAGGUAUGUAAGAGUACAUUUGUGGAUGGAUCUGAACAAAGGGAGGGAUCCAGGAAUUCUUUUCAUCACUGUCUUUAUCACAAUUUUUUUUAUUUUUUGACAUUUUCACCAAUUUCCCAGGAAAUAAAUGCAUUGGUUGUUUUUUAUUAUUCAGGGGACUGAUAUCUAUGAGUGUGUUAAAUUUGGUGCAGAUCCAUAUGUAAAUCCGGAUUAUCUAUAGAUUUUACUAUUGUAUUGACUAGAGUAGGCUAGAGCAACUAUGGCAGAACGUACGGCGGAAAAACUUAGGAAGCGUUCUUCUCAUUUCACAGUCUCUGGUUGGCAUUUUUCAAAUUUUUGGGGAAGGCUAUAUAACCAUAACAUUAUGCUACCUAAAUAGAGACAUACGUUGCACAUUGCUGGUGUAACACCUUAGUUUACCAUCAGCUUUACGUUUUUCAUGAAAAGUUAUCCGUGGAAUUUGUCCAACAUCACUUAACAUCGAGGCUCAGGGGUGAUGUCCUCAGCCAGAGGGGCAAAAGGAAUGACACAUCAACCAGUAACUGUUUCACUGUAUAUGUGGGCAUGGGAGGGAUGUUGCCUGAAAAAAAAAAGAUAGAUAUGAUGCUGUUUAAGGUCUUAAAAAUCCGGACAUUUAGAAUGGCCCGACUCAUUUGCCCAUUGGUGGGAUGGAAGCCUGUUGACAUAUCAUCCCAUUUACGUUGAUGUGUUGGUACCUGUUAACAAACAGAUGCUUAUUUAAACAUCCCACAGUUACUGAGCAACAUUAAUAUUCAAUUGGCAAUGUGUGUCUGACUUCCUGGUUAAUGUACAUCCAAUGUUCACUCUCUUUCAGCUUUGUUUUUGGUCUUUAGGGACUCUUGAGGGAAAUGUGGAAAUAUUCAGCAUGUCACCUGCUAGUUGCUCACUGUGUGUUUACACGCUUGGUGCUGAGAAGGAAGUGUACAGAGAUUGUUUUUUUUAGGCCUUUUCCCGAAAACAGUGGCCCUGCUGCCUGUGACAAUGACGCCUCGAGAGCUGUGAGAGGGAACCGAACAGAGUUCUGGGGCCGACAGCUACACAACGAAAACCGAAAGGAUCAUCAGAGACCCCCGUGACCCUGACAGUUUCCCAGGAGUCCCUGGCCUAGGCAACGCCACAAACACAAUUUCCGUAAUGUCAUUUGCAGCGCGGAUGAAGGAGAGAAAGUCCUGGCUGUCAAAACCACCUCAACGUUGCGGCGACGAAAACACGACCCGACACAUGACAGAUUCUUAGCUUCUUCCCCGUACGUCAGCCUUUACCUCCUCCGACCGGCACCAUAAAGAAAGGUAGGAGCCUCUCAAUCAUCGGCGCAAUCAAUGAAGAUGAUUGGACCAGUGAACAGGAACACAUUGGGUUAACACCUCCAACCUGCUCUGCACCUGAUGUGACCCACAGCCACCCGGAGUGUGCUCACAUCCCAUUUGUCACUGCAGUUUUUCCCGGGACAGGGGGAUAAGAUUGAAUGGGCCGCCAUGGAAAUAUGAUUUUCAGUACGCAUUGUUAACUCACCGGGGAGAGGCUUUUGCCAAAUUCUAUCAAAGUGUGCAACUGUGUAUUAAAUGACUAUCAAAAGGCCAGCCAUCAUUUUUCAUGCCGUAACCAUGGUGUGCCCCAGGAAUAACCCCUCUACAAUCACAAAGGAGACUGUUGCUAUUGAUGCACUGUGAAAAUGUGUUGACAGCGAGUAUGACAGUCCUCCAGACAAAUAGGGGCCAAACAGUUUUGAAUGUGCAGUCAUGGUUAGUAUAU